AACGAACGCUGGCGGCAUGCCUAACACAUGCAAGUCGAACGAGACCUUCGGGUCUAGUGGCGCACGGGUUCGUAACGCGUGGGAACCUGCCCUUAGGUUCGGAAUAACUCCCCGAAAGGGGUGCUAAUACCGGAUAAUGUCUUCGGACCAAAGAUUUAUCGCCUUUGGAUGGGCCCGCGUUGGAUUAGCUAGUUGGUAGGGUAAAAGCCUACCACGGCGACGAUCCAUAGCUGGUCUGAGAGGAUGAUCAGCCACACUGGGACUGAGACACGGCCCAGACUCCUACGGGAGGCAGCAGUGGGGAAUAUUGGACAAUGGGGGAAAGCCUGAUCCAGCAAUGCCGCGUGAGUGAUGAAGGCCUUAGGGUUGUAAAGCUCUUUUACCCGGGAUGAUAAUGACAGUACCGGGAGAAUAAGCUCCGGCUAACUCCGUG
rnacentral:rRNA from 1 species